ACACUCGUGGUUUAGUGGUAAAAUACGCCCUUGCCAUGGGCGUGCCACGGGUUCGAUUCCCGUCGAGUGUA
rnacentral:tRNA from 1 species